rnacentral:tRNA from 2 species
AUUUAAGCUUCAUAUAUAAAGUAUUCUCACUUUUAUUAGAA